AGGUGUGUAUAUCAACAUUAAUGUACCAGAUUCCAUUAAAGCUUCACAGUUAAACGUGUUUGGACGAAAAUAGUAUUAAAAUGGAUGACCUCUUAAAAAAUCACCGUGUUGCACCUC
rnacentral:rRNA from 2 species